ACAUACUUUACAAAAACAGUAAUUUGACAAUAUAUUUUGCUGUGGAAAGUGUGUUUCUUUCUUACAGCUUCCUAUACAAUCUUGUCUAAACUCACGAUGAAGAUGAACUUGCUGUUCUCGCUAACAAUGAUUGCACUGUUUUCCAAGGCCAGUUACAAGAAAAUAAAUAGUUUGGGCUGCAUUGGCACUUAUGCUUUCUGUCAUUUAGCUCAGAAUAUGAAAAAGUAGAGAUCCACAAGAAAACAUUUUAUAAUGUUUUGCCUGCACAUCAACCUUGAAAUUAGCUGCAAAAAUAAUGCACACUUCUACAUAACUCCUUUAUUUUAGGUAUGGCAAGGCAAGAUUCUUGAGACCCAAUUUACAUUUUUUAAGGGCUCUUUAGGACUAGUUACUUAUUUAAUGCAACUGAAAUUACCAAAUACCACACCUGUUAUGUAUUACAUAAUUUCUAAAGUAUAGCCCUGCAUUUCCUUUGAAAGGAGCAAGACAUGGAAAAAUUACAUUAAAGAAUGAUGUGUCAGCCAUGUAAUUUUCCCUUAAGAUAUAAAUGAUUCAAAGGGGCUGAUUCUUGCUGCUGUGUUACUCAGUGAACAACAAUACAGCCUGAUAUAAAGCAAUGUUUUGCUUUAUGUUGCUUAAUAUUCUUCUUGACUGAGUGACACUGCAUUGUAUCAGGAUAAAAAGACCAGAAUCAUAUCCAUGGUACCUCAAACAUUAGAAUAAUUAAUAAGUGAUUUUUACCAUUGAAAGGUCCAGUUCUGGCACAGCCAAAUAAGGUUUGCUCAAUACGAGACUAGUCUGAAAGACAGGAAAUGUAGUUACCAAAUCCAUGACAUAGGACAACAGCUAAAACUUAUUUGAUAGAAAAAGGAACUUACAAAAUCCAAGACAAUAAAAUAAGGCAGUGGUCUCUCCAUGGUUUAUUGAAGUUUGGAAAUAUGUAUCCUAGGAGAUGAACUUGCCUCAUAAUUUUGCAACUCUCAUUCAAAGCUGGUAUUUUGCAUUUCAAGGAGUAUUGUUACUCGAAAUGAAAAGGUGAAACUUAAAUGAACAUUUUCAAUUUUUUAUGUUUUGUGAUGUGUGAACAAAAGCUCAAACUUUAUAUUUGUAAUUUUUUUGUUAUUAUUUUUUCAUCUUUUACACCCAAAUCCAGAUACCGUCUGGACUAUGGCACUCCUGAGUUGUCUUGUUUACUUGUUCUUGAGUAACAGAUGCUGUUGACUGACUGAGAAGGAUCAGUAAGGAGUAACUGAAGAGUUAGGCCUGACUUUGUUAGCCAGCAUGAGAUGAGCCUAUAUAUGGUGGCUGGCAAUGGGGAGAGGGACUGACUUACCCAGGCUGCUGUCACCUGCCUGUCACUUUCCUCCAACUGGAAGUUUUUGUCCCCAUCCCUACCCCCAGCUUCCAGCAGAGCUGAAUGUCUCGUUACUCAUUAACAUUAUUCUGUCAAAAUGAUCUGAGUAAGUUUAAAUACUUCAUAGUGAGGGAUUUAAAAAAAAAAUUACAAAUCCCUGGAUCGGUAUUGACAGAACUGGGUUAGAGGAGAUGCCAGCAGAUGGCAAGGUGCAGCCUUUUUGCCCAGGAUGGGCGGUGGGGCCUGAAUUCCUCAAGGUUACCACUGACGCCCAAUCAGCCACAACCAGAGAAGUUCCUCUGACCUGACUUUCUUUAAAUCCAGCUUCACUUUCAGUGCAUUUUUCAGUUAAGAAAUGUGUAAUGUGACAACAGCAUCAGUGAAAUAGCAACAUCACAACAUCUGAAGGAACAAGUAAUCCCACGAAAAGGAGGAAUCUUUUAGCUGUAGUUUCCAGAUGUUGGGGUGGGGGAUGAGUUUGUAACGUCUUUAUUGCCUGUCACUAACUUGCCUUUGGAAGUCACAACUGCUGCUAAAGACUUGGUGCCUUUUCACCUUCGCUGAAAGUGUUAGAAACUUGCAGCAGAGUUCUUCACACCUCCCUGUAGCUGCUCCCGAGCCACAGGAGGAUCUUUCUCAGGAUGUCAGUCUGUGUUACAAAGAUAAUAUCAGUUCAAGGAGUCCUGCCUCCUCCUAUGUGCCUCUUCUGCUCGUCUCUCAUUCCUACCCCUACACCACAAUGUUUCAGCCUCCCCAGGGUUACAGGUAACCUAGAUCCUUUCAGCAAUCCAUCUUCUCACAGGGCCCCACCAAUAGCUCUGUGAGUAUUGCUGGGGAGGCAGCAAACUGCUGUGGUGAAAGAGAAGCACAGGUUUUUUAAGCUGGUUUUGCUGCUGAAGCCAGUGACAAGUGAAGCAACCACUGACACAAUAAUUUCUCAAAUUAUUCUAGGAUAAAUAUGUUAAGAUGUUCUAUAAAUUAUUUGGAAGACUGCAGAUGACUGGGCACAGGUAGGACAUUUUGUUCAACUUUUUUAGGACAAAUAGUCUGAAAAUAUUCACAUUUAUUAUGCUUCUCACUAUGAUAAAACAAGAGCACACAAAUUUUAUCUUUGUCUUUAAGAGGCAGAGUGUAUGGCAGUAUCAUGUACUAAAUCUAAUUAUUUUAGCCACUUGCAUUUUAAAUUUUCUAUUUAGAAGCAUAAGAACUAAGGCAUUGGCUUAAUAUUACAGCUUUUGUAAAAAAACUGAUCUUAAAGCCCAGCUGUUUUGACCCUGAUCAAGAAUGUGAGGACCAUUGUAACAUUGUUCAUUGAUGAAAGUCACGUCAUUUUGUUUCAAGAAUUUUAAAACCUGUAUCAUCUGAGCAACAGUGAGUUCUUUUGUAUUGUUUCUUCCUGUAUUCCUGAAGCUCCCAGUCAUUUGAGAACACCAAUAACAUGAGCAACAAUCAUAGUUUAACUGGCCAAGCACUGAUUUACAAUAUUCUUUGUAGGCAGAUUACUAACAGGCAACAGUCCAAAAUUCUUCAAUGACCUUAAAAAUGUUUCCAAAAACAUGUUACUGAUUUUAACAGUGACUAUGCAAUACGUAGUAAACAUGAAUGCAAAAGGUUAAGAGAUCAACAAAGAGUUCUCAGCAGCACAAAAUUAGCACAGGAGGCAAUGGCAAAAGUCUAAGGUUAAACUGUUCAGUUAAAGCCAGAACGGAAAUUGGGGCAAGAAAAAGAAAACAUGGUGUCAUAAACAUGAUGAAAUCUCUGUGCUAGGAAGAUGACUCACAAUGCGGUUGUAAAACCUGGGUACAAAAAGUUCUUAUAGAUUCUAGAAAGUAAGGCAGAGUUGAUAAUCGUGUCAUGUUUUCACCACAGAUAAAUCUAUUUCCCGUUUUGAUAAAAAGGUCAGGCAGAUCGAAUGCAAUCAGAUAAAGCACAUGGUAAGUCACAUACUCAAAGUGCUCACUUUAAUUAGUUAUGAAAUGUAAUAAUGUGUCAAUGAGCCCUCUUCAGGUUAGGGAGAGGAGGAGUUUUGAAGUAUUUAGGCACGCAGGAAAGAAAAGUGCAGAGUUUUACGUGAAAAGGAAAGCACGUUGUUUUAACUUGCUUACAUCUAGAAUACACCAACUGAUUAAAACAGCUGAGGAAAGUGUCAAGAUCAUCUUUGUAGUUUCAAAUGAGGAAAAUACAAAUGUGAGAAACGUUCUAAACUUUAAGCACAAACAUUCCCGUGGAAAUAAUUUGUGGUGACUCAACAACUUGUAACAUCAGAUCUUUAAAAGUGUUUGUUAUCUUUCAUUAUUUUGCAUCUGUGUUGCAGGUUCUCCUACAGCAAAGCAACAAGCUGCUACAUGUCCCUUUUAACUGUGGGUACAUACAGUCCUCCUCUUUGCUUCUAGAGAAAAAGAAAGAACCUUUCAGAUGUGGGCAGUUUACUGUCUGCAAUAUAUAAAACUGCAGUUUCCUUACAUUUUGGUGCAAUCUCUGUCCUUAUUCUGUGUUCAGUGAAUAGUUUGUGAAGUAGAAAAACAUCCUCUUCUCCUCAUUUCUGUUGAUUUUGUGUCUUGGGAUUUGGACAGGAAAAAGGGCUUCAGUUUAGAGCCAGUCAGAGUUAGCAACUAAGGGUUUCAAGAAUGCAGACUAAGCAAUUACCACAGAAAUGUCCAGAGCAGCUAGUUUGAACGUGGGUCCAAGAUUUUCCAAAAUUUUGCUUAGAGCAGUGGUUCUGGUUACAGCUAACUCUAAUAAUCACAGUUAAUACUGACCUUCCUCAUGAAGGUUUGCAGCAUCUGGACAGGAAGAAUCCUGAUUUCUGCUGAGGACUUUCAGGCAACACAGUAACAGACAAAUGCGAAUGCUAAUACUGCUGUCACUUACAGGGAGUUUAUCACUGUAGAACAGAUUGACCUGUGUUGUCAGAAUUUUCCUUAAAAAUGCAACAAAAAGGUAAAUUCAGAUCUCAAAUCUAAUUACUUGGUUUCUGGCAGUGGCUCAGACGCAAUAAAUGUUUUUAAAUGCAUACAUGUGUGAAAUAAAGCGUGCCAAAAUCCUGUAUAAUUAAGCCAGUGAGGAGCGGGGAGCAUUGCAACCCUUCUGACCUUCUGCUGGUCAGGUACGGAUGGGGCUCUGCACGGAGACACAAGAAAAGGAUUUUAUUUUGCAGUCUGGUGAAGCAGUUGCAGUCUUUCAAAAUACAGAAAUUUGAAUCACUGUAGCCUGCGAAGAGCUCUGCAUUUUGUGACACAAGAAAGAGCCAAUAAACUGCAUCCUCUGUACAAACCAGGCUCUGGAACAACAGUGUUUGCUGGCAUGAGAAUGCACCUCUUUGGGUAAAAAGUGAGACUUGUGAAACUUUUGCCUCCAAUACCACAAUAUUUACUAUUCUUUGGAAGUUAUCUUGCUUUUUAAAUGUUCAAGUUUUCUUUCUUUAAACAUUUUCACCUUCAAGAGUUAGCUUUAAAUUUCUUCGAAGUGGCCUGUAUCUGCAAUGAUUUUAAGUGACUUGGAGAAGAUCUGAUAAAACAACUAGACUGAGGAAGUUGUCUAGUUUGUUUUGGGGGCUAUUUGACAAACUCUGUUUUAUAAAGUAACUCUUCUCUGCAAGACAGGAUGUAUUUUUACAGAUUAGGUACAUUAAGCUGAUUUCUACAUUACUUUUCCACUGUAGUUUAUAACUCUCAAGGAGUAGAAAUUAGAGACUGUGUGGAAGAUGCUGUUGGACUUUAAAUUAUCUGUGUCUGAGGAAGGAAGCUGGUUAGAAACUAGUGUUCUAGUUGUUUUUGCAUAUAGAUAGGUAAGGACAGGUAAGACUGGAGGUGUCUGUCACUACUGAUGAUGUGCAUGGUGGCGUGCCACAGUAACAGAAGCUGGGUUUAAAGUUCCUCCCGUUGCCAGUGCUUGGUGGCUCUGGAGGCUGGGCUGUUGUUUUGGAAUAGUUGCUUGAACCAUUCAUUCAACUCUGUCUCUGAUAAAGAAUAUGCUCCAUAUUUGUGCUACUUUACUGAUACAUACCUCUGUAAAUUAAAGCUUUUUCUUAAAGAAA